rnacentral:rRNA from 1 species
CAAUAGCGUAUAUUAAAGUUGUUGCAGUUAAAAGCUCGUAGUUGGAUUUCUGGUAGGAGUGACCGUUCCGAACUUGAUUGUUCGUGUAUUGUGUUUUCUCCAGCCAUCCUUGUGGAGAACUUUUCUUGCAUUAAUUUGUAGGGAUUGGGACCCGCAUCGUUUACUGUGAAAAAAUUAGAGUGUUUAAAGCAGGCAAUCGCUUGAAUACAUUAGCAUGGAAUAAUAAGAUAGGACUUUGGUACUAUUUUGUUGGUUUGCAUACCAAAUUAAUGAUCAACAGGAACAGUUUGAGGAUAUUCGUAUGAACAUGUCAGAGGUGAAAUUCUUGGAUUUUGAUCAGACGAACUACUGCGAAAGCAUUUAUCAAGGAUGUUUUCAUUAA